rnacentral:rRNA from 1 species
GUGGGGAAUAUUGGACAAUGGGCGAAAGCCUGAUCCAGCCAUGCCGCGUGUGUGAAGAAGGUCUUCGGAUUGUAAAGCACUUUAAGUUGGGAGGAAGGGCAGUAAGUUAAUACCUUGCUGUUUUGACGUUACCGACAGAAUAAGCACCGGCUAACUUCGUGCCAGCAGCCGCGGUAAUACGAAGGGUGCAAGCGUUAAUCGGAAUUACUGGGCGUAAAGCGCGCGUAGGUGGUUUUGUAAGUUGGAGGUGAAAUCCCCGGGCUCAAACUGGGAACUGCCUCCAAAACUGCAUGACUAGAGUACGGUAGAGGGUAGUGGAAUUUCCUGUGUAGCGGUGAAAUGCGUAGAUAUAGGAAGGAACACCAGUGGCGAAGGCGACUACCUGGACUGAUACUGACACUGAGGUGCGAAAGCGUGGGGAGCAAACAGGAUUAGAAACCCGUGUAGUCC